AUGAACGCUGGCGGCGUGUCUGAGGCAUGCAAGUCGAACGGUCCCGCAGCAAUGCGGGACAGUGGCAGACGGGUGAGUAACACAUUGGAACCUGCCUUUGAGACGGGCAUAGCUUUCCGAAAGGAAAGAUAAUUCCCGAUGGUUUCCGUAAAAUUUAUUUUGCGGAAUAAAGGUCAUUCGCAAGAAUGGUCACUCAAAGAGGGGCCUAUGUUCUAUCAGCUAGUUGGUGGGGUAAUGGCCUACCAAGGCAAUGACGGAUAGCGGGUGUGAGAGCACGACCCGCCUCACGGGGACUGAGACACUGCCCCGACUCCUACGGGAGGCUGCAGUCGAGAAUAUUCCUCAAUGGCCGAAAGGCUGAAGGAGCGACGCCGCGUGAAUGAUGAAGCCCUUCGGGGUGUAAAGUUCUUUUAUUAGGGACGAAUCAAUGACGGUACCUAAUGAAUAAGAGGUUGCUAACUCUGU
rnacentral:rRNA from 1 species